ACUCCUACGGGAGGCAGCAGUAGGGAAUCUUCCACAAUGGGCGCAAGCCUGAUGGAGCAACACCGCGUGAGUGAAGAAGGGUUUCGGCUCGUAAAGCUCUGUUGUUAAAGAAGAACACGUAUGAGAGUAACUGUUCAUACGUUGACGGUAUUUAACCAGAAAGUCACGGCUAACUACGUGCCAGCAGCCGCGGUAAUACGUAGGUGGCAAGCGUUAUCCGGAUUUAUUGGGCGUAAAGAGAGUGCAGGCGGUUUUCUAAGUCUGAUGUGAAAGCCUUCGGCUUAACCGGAGAAGUGCAUCGGAAACUGGAUAACUUGAGUGCAGAAGAGGUAGUGGAACUCCAUGUGUAGCGGUGGAAUGCGUAGAUAUAUGGAAGAACACCAGUGGCGAAGGCGGCUACCUGGUCUGCAACGUGACGCUGAGACUCGAAAGCAUGGGUAGCGAACAGGAUUAGAUACCCCGUGGUAGGCUAGCG
rnacentral:rRNA from 1 species